rnacentral:pre_miRNA from 1 species
UGAGGCUUUGCUGGCUAGUGCAGUGCCUGAGGGAGUAAGAGCCCUGUUGUUGUAAGAUAGAGUCUUACUCCCUCAGGCACAUCUCCAGCAAGUCUCU